CAGCCGCCGCGGUAAUACGUAGGUGGCAAGCGUUAUCCGGAAUUAUUGGGCGUAAAGUGCGCGUAGGCGGUUUUUUAAGUCUGAUGUGAAAGCCCACGGCUCAACCGUGGAGGGUCAUUGGAAACUGGAAAACUUGAGUGCAGAAGAGGAAAGUGGAAUUCCAUGUAUAGCGGUGAAAUGCGCAGAGAUAUGGAGGAACACCAGUGGCGAAGGCGACUUUCUGGUCUGUAACUGACGCUGAUGUGCGAAAGCGUGGGGAUCAAACAGGAUUAGAUACCCGCGUAGUCCCUGUCUCUUAUAC
rnacentral:rRNA from 1 species